GACGAACGCUGGCGGCGUGCCUAAUACAUGCAAGUAGAACGCUGAAGAGAGGAGCUUGCUCUUCUUGGAUGAGUUGCGAACGGGUGAGUAACGCGUAGGUAACCUGCCUUGUAGCGGGGGAUAACUAUUGGAAACGAUAGCUAAUACCGCAUAACAAUGGCUGACACAUGUCAUUUAUUUGAAAGGGGCAAUUGCUCCACUACAAGAUGGACCUGCGUUGUAUUAGCUAGUAGGUGAGGUAACGGCUCACCUAGGCGACGAUACAUAGUCGACCUGAGAGGGUGAUCGGCCACACUGGGACUGAGACACGGCCCAGACUCCUACCGGAGGCAGCAGUAGGGAAUCUUCGGCAAUGGGGGCAAACCUGACCGAGCAACGCCGCGUGAGUGAAGAAGGGUUUCGGAUCGUAAAGCUCUGUUGUAAGUCAAGAACGAGUGUGAGAGUGGAAAGUUUACAUUGUGACGGUAGCUUAACAGAAAGGGACGGCUAACUACGUG
rnacentral:rRNA from 1 species